ACUAAUGGUUAAUGCCAAUAAUGACAUCAUAGAUAUUAAAAUGUGUAACAAAUGAAAGUGAAUGUGUAACUGUUCAAAUACUGUUUUAGUCUUUGUCAUGACUCACAUGUGGUCAGUCUAUUUCUGUUCAUGUAUUCGAGGUGUGUGUGUGUGUGUGUGUAGAUUAUAUUCAGGGUCACUCGUUGAAGGGUGCUGUCUUUUAUGGGCAAUUGUCUUGUUUUUAAGGAUGCUGCAGUUGAUUGGUUUUUGAAAAAGUGCUGACAGAAAUUCAGUCUUAGUACUGUUUUUAAUAGAGACUGUUCUAUGCAGUGAAAUUGAAUGAUGGGGUCUUGUAACGCUCUGAUGUUGAGCGGUGUGCAUUAAUAAAUAUAUCUGUUGGA